UUUUGCGUAGCUCUGGGCCCGGGGCGUUCGGGGCAGUCUGGGGGCUGGGGGACAGCCGUGCGCCCUCUCCAGGACUUUCCAUCGGGUCCCGGUCCUGGGACCCAGCUCGAAUGCAAAGCGGAGGCCAGCACGCGGGCUGCAAACGGGCGCCCCGGCACCCCGAACUCGCUCCCCGCCUUUUAGGCAGCCGCCCUCCGGGGACCCCCCGGCUCGCCCCUGCCGCUCUGCCCCGCUCGGCCUCCCGCGGUCGGCCGGCCGGGAGGGGAGCUGUGCGCGGCGGCGCUGUGCAGACUUGCUCGGAAAGAUUCCUGGGUUCAGACCUGUGAAUCGCCCCAGGGUCACCCUCUAAUUAAUGAUGACGUUCUCGCCCUCUCCCCAGCUGCAAACCUGCCUCCCAGAAACGAAAUCUGCCCGCUCUGACAGCUCGGUUGAAGGUGAUUGAUGACUGUCUGGAGACCACAGUACGCAUCAUAUAAUAUCUGCUGCGUAAUUGCUUUAAUUUACAGAUGAAAAUACGAGCUCUCCGAUCGCGCUGAACCACAGCCGGCCACGUCCGAGCUGCUUGCGAAGGAAAAUCAUCGGAAAUAAUGAAUAGCCGCCCCAUGCAAAUUAUUCAGACAGUUUAAGCGUCUGUAGCCGGGAGAGAUAUAUAAAGAACACGAGUCAAAUGACAUUAA
rnacentral:lncRNA from 1 species